rnacentral:rRNA from 1 species
UACGGAGGAUCCGAGCGUUAUCCGGAUUUAUUGGGCUUAAAGGGUGCGUAGGCGGCCUGUUAAGUCAGGGGUGAAAGACGGUAGCUCAACUAUCGCAGUGCCCUUGAUACUGAUGGGCUUGAAUGUACUAGAGGUAGGCGGAAUGUGACAAGUAGCGGUGAAAUGCAUAGAUAUGUCACAGAACACCAAUUGCGAAGGCAGCUUACUAUGGUAUAAUUGACGCUGAGGCACGAAAGCGUGGGGAUCAAACAGG